rfam:Listeria fleischmannii subsp. coloradonensis strain TTT M1-001 Contig214, whole genome shotgun sequence.
GGGGCUGUUACGGAUUCGACAGGGAUAGUUCGAGCUCGGAUGGCGCGUCGAGGGGUCGUCCUCGUCAACAACGCAAAAGCCAAUAAUAACUGGCAAAGAAAAACAAAACCUAGCUUUCGCUGCGUAAUAGUAGCUUAAGCUGAUCCUCCGUGCAUCGCCCAUGUGCUACGGUCAGGGUCUUACUCUAAGUGGGAUACGGUUAAAGGCUUCCGUUUGUAGUCUUUAAAAAGAGAUCAAUCAAACUAGCUGAAAGGAAGCCCGUUUCGAGGCCGAGAUUCAAGCGAAAUUCUAAUAUCGAGACUACACGCGUAGAAGUUCGAGUGCCGAUAUUUCUGGACGCGGGUUCGACUCCCGCCAGCUCCAUUU